rnacentral:lncRNA from 1 species
ACACAUUACUAUACAUUAAAAAACACAUAACAUACAUAUAAAUAUAUGUUACUACAUGUGACUAUAGUUAUAUACAAUUAUCUAUAGUUAUAUAAGUGGCAUAAGUCCGGAGUACUGUAGCAUGAAUCCAACUUCACAAAGGCACUUCAUCGAAUUUUAUUCUCUGCAUGUCAUAAAAUUAUAAUAAAAGCAAAACCUGCGACAAAAAAAUACGAGUUAAAUAGCAAAAUGGAACAUGCGAGUUAGGUUACAUGAAAAUUACAAAAAAAAUUUGAUUUUUUUUGUUGAUAAAUUUACUGAACUAAAAUCGACUACAAUUGACUAUAGUAUACUACAAGUCCUAUAUAUAGUCAUGUAUAGUAACAAGUAGUCAUGACUAUACAUGACUACAUGUGACUGACUAUAUGUGACUGUAUAUGACUAAAUAUAACUGUAUAUUCACCUUACUCAAAUCACCCAUGUAAGUAACCAUUACUGGUUAAAUUUCUAUUACAGACAAACAAAGCUCUCACAUAUUAGGUAUUUCAAAUCAUCUUCAAAUAAAUACAAAAACAAAUUACAUAUAUAUGAUUUAUAAUAAAAAAUCAAAUUACAUGAAAAAUACAAAAAAAAAAUAUGAUUUUUUUGUUGAUAAAUUUACUGAACUAAAAUCGACUACAAAUAACUAUAUUAUAAUACAAGUCCUAUAUAUAGUCAUGUAUACAUGUAGUCAUGACUAUACAUGACUACAUGUGACUAACUAUACAUGACGCUCAUGUAAGUAACCACUACUGGUUAAAUUUCCAUUACAGACAAACAAAACUCUCACACUUUAGGCAUUGCGAAUCAUCUUCAAAUAAAUUAUAAUAUGAUUUAUAAUAAAAAAUCAAAUUAAUCCAAAGAAAAAUAUUUUAAUAUUAAUUGUUCACAGAUCUUAAAAAAUAUAGUAUAUCAGUGUUUUUUUAUAUAUAAAUGCAGUAAAUAUAUACAAAUCGAACACCACCAAUUCCAGAUCUGACUACACAUCGUCGGAUCACAAUUUAAAAUUUUUGAAUUUAGUUGAUUUUCAUAAAAAAAAAAAAAGGUGAAAUAGUUAAGAGACAUCAGAUCUUAAAAAAUAAAUUAAAAAUGGAUGGAUAUUCAUAAAUUAAAAAAAUAACUUAAAAAAGUGAAGUGAAUGGGUUAGUACCGAGUUCAAGGCGGUGGGAGGAGCAACGACGGCCGGUACAAGGCCGUGGCGGAGCAGCGACGCAAGGCGGCGGCGGAGCAGCGACGGCGGCAGCGCAAGGAGGUGAGGGGAGCGACGGCGGCGGCGGCGCAAGGAGGU